rnacentral:rRNA from 1 species
AUUGAACGCUGGCGGCAGGCUUAACACAUGCAAGUCGAGCGAGCGGCGGACGGGUGAGUAAUGUCUGGGAAACUGCCUGAUAGAGGGGGAUAACUACUGGAAACGGUAGCUAAUACCGCAUACUAUCGGAUGUGCCCAGAUGGGAUUAGCUAGUAGGUGGGGUAAAGGCUCACCUAGGCGACGAUCCCUAGCUGGUCUGAGAGGAUGACCAGCCACACUGGAACUGAGACACGGCCCAGACUCCUACGGGAGGCAGCAGGGGGGAAUAUUGCACAAUGGGCGCAAGCCUGAUGCAGCCAUGCCGCGUGUAUGAAGAAGGCCUUCGGGUUGUAAAGCACUUUCAGCGGGGAGGCGUUACUCGCAGAAGAAGCACCGGCUAACUCCGUGCCAGCAGCCGCGGUAAUUC